GCGAACGCUGGCGGCAGGCUUAACACCUGCAAGUCGCGCGGGCACCUUCGGGUGUCAGCGGCAGACGGGUGAGUAACACGUGGGAACGUACCCUUCGGUUCGGAAUAACGCUGGGAAACUAGCGCUAAUACCGGAUACGCCCUUAUGGGGAAAGGUUUACUGCCGAAGGAUCGGCCCGCGUCUGAUUAGCUAGUUGGUGGGGUAACGGCCUACCAAGGCGACGAUCAGUAGCUGGUCUGAGAGGAUGAUCAGCCACACUGGGACUGAGACACGGCCCAGACUCCUACGGGAGGCAGCAGUGGGGAAUAUUGGACAAUGGGCGCAAGCCUGAUCCAGCCAUGCCGCGUGAGUGAUGAAGGCCUUAGGGUUGUAAAGCUCUUUUGUCCGGGACGAUAAUGACGGUACCGGAAGAAUAAGCCCCGGCUAACUUCGUG
rnacentral:rRNA from 1 species